rnacentral:rRNA from 1 species
GAUGAACGCUGGCGGCGUGCCUAAUACAUGCAAGUCGAGCGAACAGAUGAGGAGCUUGCUCCUCUGACGUUAGCGGCGGACGGGUGAGUAACACGUGGAUAACCUACCUAUAAGACUGGGAUCACUUCGGGAAACCGGAGCUAAUACCGGGUAAUAUAUUGAACCGCAUGGUUCAAUAGUGAAAGACGGUUUUGCUGUCACUUAUAGAUGGAUCCGCGCCGCAUUAGCUAGUUGGUAAGGUAACGGCUUACCAAGGCAACGAUGCGUAGCCGACCUGGGAGGGUGAUCGGCCACACUGGAACUGAGACACGGUCCAGACUCCUACGGGAGGCAGCAGUAGGGAAUCUUCCGCAAUGGGCGAAAGCCUGACGGAGCAACGCCGCGUGAGUGAUGAAGGUCUUCGGAUCGUAAAACUCUGUUAUUAGGGAAGAACAAAUGUGUAAGUAACUAUGCACGUCUUGACGGUACCUAAUCAGAAAGCCACGGCUAACUACGUG